rnacentral:rRNA from 1 species
UACGUAGGGGCUAGCGUUGUCCGGAUUUAUUGGGCGUAAAGAGCGUGUAGGCGGCCUGGUAGGUCUGCUGUGAAAACUCGAGGCUCAACCUCGAGAUGUCGGCGGAAACCAUCUGGCUAGAGCCGGAAGAGGAGAGUGGAAUUCCUGGUGUAGCGGUGAAAUGCGCAGAUAUCAGGAAGAACACCUAUGGCGAAGGCGGUC